rnacentral:lncRNA from 10 species
CAUAGGAAAGAAGCAGAAGUAGUACAGGAAGCAGAAGACAAGAGAGAAAGAAGAGCAUUGAGAAACUAAGAUUUAGCAGAAGUUUAAGCCAGAUUUCCAGUUCAUCUCUCUUCAGAGGCAGAGGCACAGCAAAGGAUGCAUAAGAAGCUUUAGCUGGGAGGAUGGACUAGGCAAAGAAAUUACAAGAACAGCAAGAAAAAGAAAUAGUUGGGAUGGGUGUUGGGAAAAAAUUUUUUAAAAGAAAAAGAAAUCAUUGAAAAACAAAAACAAGAAAUAGCUCCAGUUACUAGAGAUUUUGUUCUCAAUGUUGCUGCCCUGUUGGCAUCAGGAAUGCCAGUAACUCAGAUAGCUAUGGCAGCUCAAAUGGGAGCCCUGCAAGCAACAGCUUUGGCAGAGACAGAACAGCUGUACCUAGGGAUUAUGACACAGCAGCUGGAAAUCCAGUGAAAUUUGCUGAACAAGAGGAAAAAAGUCAAGGCAAGAAAAACUGGGCAAACUCCCCGUCUGCUGAACUAUGACUUUGGGAAACAAGGACCAAAAUGUCAUAUAUAUGGAAAUUAGUGGGUAUUAAGAGUGAAGAUGAAGCUAGAUGUAGCUCACUUGAUGAAGAAAGUUAGAAGACUUUGAAGCAAUAGGAAGUACUGUAUUUAGAAAUUUAGAUGCUCAGUAUGAAAAGGCAAGAUCACAGACCCACACAUAAAGAGGAACGGGAUUGGGUUUCACAUCUUCAACGUGAGAAAUGGAUG